rnacentral:rRNA from 1 species
GAUGAACGCUGGCGGCGUGCUUAACACAUGCAAGUCGAACGAACCUUCGGGUUAGUGGCGGACGGGUGAGUAACGCGUGGGAAUCUGCCCUCAGGAGGGGGAUAACGGCCGGAAACGGCCGCUAAUACCCCAUAUGCCGAGAGGUGAAAUGAAUUUCGCCUGAGGAUGAGCCCGCGUCUGAUUAGCUAGUUGGUGUGGUAAUGGCGCACCAAGGCGACGAUCAGUAGCUGGUCUGAGAGGAUGAUCAGCCACACUGGGACUGAGACACGGCCCAGACUCCUACGGGAGGCAGCAGUGGGGAAUUUUCCGCAAUGGGCGAAAGCCUGACGGAGCAACGCCGCGUGAGGGAUGAAGGCCUCUGGGCUGUAAACCUCUUUUCUCAAGGAAGAAGACAUGACGGUACUUGAGGAAUAAGCCACGGCUAAUUCCGUGCCAGCAGCCGCGGUAAUACGGGAGUGGCAAGCGUUAUCCGGAAUUAUUGGGCGUAAAGCGUCCGCAGGCGGCCUUGUAAGUCUGUCGUUAAAGCGUGGAGCUUAACUCCAUUUCAGCGAUGGAAACUACAAGGCUUGAGUGUGGUAGGGGCAGAGGGAAUUCCCGGUGUAGCGGUGAAAUGCGUAGAUAUCGGGAAGAACACCAGUGGCGAAGGCGCUCUGCUGGGCCAUAACUGACGCUCAUGGACGAAAGCCAGGGGAGCGAAAGGGAUUAGAUACCCCUGUAGUCCUGGCCGUAAACGAUGAACACUAGGUGUCGGGGGAAUCGACCCCCUCGGUGUCGUAGCUAACGCGUUAAGUGUUCCGCCUGGGGAGUACGCACGCAAGUGUGAAACUCAAAGGAAUUGACGGGGGCCCGCACAAGCGGUGGAGUAUGUGGUUUAAUUCGAUGCAACGCGAAGAACCUUACCAGGGUUUGACAUCCUGCGAAUCCCUUGGAAACGAGGGAGUGCCUUCGGGAGCGCAGAGACAGGUGGUGCAUGGCUGUCGUCAGCUCGUGUCGUGAGAUGUUGGGUUAAGUCCCGCAACGAGCGCAACCCACGUCUUUAGUUGCCAGCAUUCAGUUGGGCACUCUAGAGAGACCGCCGGUGAUAAACCGGAGGAAGGUGUGGAUGACGUCAAGUCAUCAUGCCCCUUACAUCCUGGGCUACACACGUACUACAAUGCUACGGACAAAGGGUUGCAAGCUCGCGAGAGUUAGCUAAUCCCAUAAACCGUGGCUCAGUUCAGAUCGUAGGCUGCAACUCGCCUACGUGAAGGAGGAAUCGCUAGUAAUCGCAGGUCAGCAUACUGCGGUGAAUACGUUCCCGGGCCUUGUACACACCGCCCGUCACACCAUGGAAGUUGGCCAUGCCCGAAGUCGUUACUCCAACCCUUGUGGAGGAGGACGCCGAAGGUGGGGCUGAUGACUGGGGUGAAGUCGUAACAAGGUAGCCGUACCGGAAGGUGCGGCUGGAUCACCUCCU